AUUGAACGCUGGCGGCAGGCCUAACACAUGCAAGUCGAGCGGAUGAAGGGAGCUUGCUCCUGGAUUCAGCGGCGGACGGGUGAGUAAUGCCUAGGAAUCUGCCUGGUAGUGGGGGAUAACGUCCGGAAACGGGCGCUAAUACCGCAUACGUCCUGAGGGAGAAAGUGGGGGAUCUUCGGACCUCACGCUAUCAGAUGAGCCUAGGUCGGAUUAGCUAGUUGGUGGGGUAAAGGCCUACCAAGGCGACGAUCCGUAACUGGUCUGAGAGGAUGAUCAGUCACACUGGAACUGAGAAACGGUCCAGACUCCUACGGGAGGCAGCAGUGGGGAAUAUUGGACAAUGGGCGAAAGCCUGAUCCAGCCAUGCCGCGUGUGUGAAGAAGGUCUUCGGAUUGUAAAGCACUUUAAGUUGGGAGGAAGGGCAGUAAGUUAAUACCUUGCUGUUUUGACGUUACCAACAGAGUAAGCACCGGCUAACUUCGUG
rnacentral:rRNA from 1 species